AAGUGUAUUUUUUUUUUACAAAAUAGAUAGUUGUUCACAUGUUUAAGUGACAUGUGUGUGACAAGAAAAAGGAAAAGAAAAAAGUAUUCAUUAGUUUUGAAAAAACAUCAAAAUAAAAUAAAAUAAAAAUAAUUUCUGAUUAGUAUGUGUGGAACUUAGAACAAAUAUAUAUAUAUAUAUAUAUAUAUAUAAUCAAUCUUAUUCAAUUUGUGGAACACAUUUGAUGUGAGUUCUCAUAGAGCCACAAACCAGCAACUGGGAGCUGAUUCCAUGCAAAAUCCCAUCCCAUCCCAUCCCAAAGAAUAAGCCCCCUUUCCACAUGCAAUCUGUCUAGCAGCACAUCACAGCACGGCUACUCUCCAACCUGGCAAGGGUACUACUACUGCCAACUCAAAGAGAAGAGUACAAAGGGGCCACAUCCCACACCAUUGGGCCUACUCCUCCAAGUGCCAUAUACAACUCAAAUGGCUACUCAUCCAUCACAUGAUUGGUGUAGAGAGUGAGAGAGUGAGAGGGUCUCUCAAGUAUUUCCCUACCCAUACUAUUUAGCCAACCUUAAUUGGGGCUCCUCUUCUUCUUCUUCUUUUUCUUCUUCUUUGCCCUUGGUGUUGUUUACUUGAUUAUUUGUUUUCCAGUACCCCUCGUUGUUUCUAGGUUUUAGGGCUAUGGCUGCUGUGGGUAGAAAGAAAUCUGUGUUGGGGUGCUUAUGUUGUCGCUGCAUGCAAAAAUUGUGCACCCCCAUCCAAGGACAACAAUUGCUUUGAGGAUGAAAUUGGCUCUGGGCCCAUUCUUCUUCCCCCUUGAAGAAGAUGUGGAGGAGUACUUGGCUUGAACAACACUUGUGGAGCUUCCUGUACUUUUUAAACCUUCUACUUAACCCACAAGUUAAAAACACAAGCAUAAUUAUAUAUUAACAUGUCAAUCAAGCCAUCAGGCAAGCAAUCAAUCAAGCAAGCAAGCAAUCAAGCUGCCUCAAUUAUUUUUUAAUUGUGAUUCUCAUGUUCCAGAAGGACAUGGAUCUAGUUGUUGCCUCUCACUGGGGUCUAAGUUUUUUCUAUUUCUUCACAUGUUGGGUGUGUACUUUGAUUGGUUUGCCCUGCGUAGGAAAAUCUGGUUCAGGGUAAAUAUGCACAUGUGAUUUUUAGAAAGUUCCAUAUCUAUAAUUUUCAGUUGUUAAGAAAAUAAUCUCAUGAAGAUUAAGUGAGGGUCAAGUGCUGGUUUAGCUUGGGCAAACUUAAAGUUGAUUUUGUGCUUGUAUGUUAAGAUAAGAUUAAAAAAAUGGAAAAUUUCUAAUAUUGUACCUAAGGGUGGGAAUUUAACAGAGAUAUUAUUCCAUUUUAUUGUUAACCAUGUCAAAUUGUGUUUAUUACUUUUAUUUAUUUUCAUCAAAAUCUUUUCAGGUUGAAGAAAUAGAUUAUUCUACAGAGUGAGAACCAUAGAGCAAGCAAAGAAAAUACAACAAAACAAAGGUCAUGGCAGCAAAAUCUAAUAUAGAAACCUUUCAUUAAUUAAAAUAUUUUAUGUAGAUUUUCUCAAAGAAGAGGAAAAGGGAAAUUUUAUAAAAUAGUAAAAAAUAAAAUCCACUGCACUAUCUAUUGUAUGAAUAUUAUACCAUGAAGACCAUAGUAUUUCAGAAAUGCCUGAGUUGAGAACCUCAA
rnacentral:lncRNA from 1 species